GGAUUAGAUACCCUGGUAGUCCACGCAGUAAACGUUGUUCACUAGGUGUAGCGGGUAUUGACCCCUGCUGUGCCGCAGCUAACGCAUUAAGUGAACCGCCUGGGGAGUACGGCCGCAAGGCUAAAACUCAAAGGAAUUGACGGGGGCCCGCACAAGCGGUGGAGCAUGUGGUUUAAUUCGACGCAACGCGAAGAACCUUACCUGGACUUGACAUCUCGGGAAUUUCUUGGAAACUUGAAAGUGCCCUUCGGGGAGCCCGAUGACAGGUGCUGCAUGGCUGUCGUCAGCUCGUGCCG
rnacentral:rRNA from 1 species